GAAACCAACAGGGAUUACCUCAGUAACGGCGAGUGAAGCGGUAAUAGCUCAAAUUUGAAAUCUGGCUCUCUCAGGGUCCGAGUUGUAAUUUGUAGAGGAUGUUUCGGGCACGGUUACGGUUUAAAUUUCUUGGAACAGAAUGUCAUAGAGGGUGAGAGUCCCGUCUUGAACCGAUUACUUCGUCCAUGUGAAACUCCUUCGACGAGUCGAGUUGUUUGGGAAUGCAGCUCAAAAUGGGUGGUAAAUUUCAUCUAAAGCUAAAUAUUGGCCAGAGACCGAUAGCGCACAAGUAGAGUGAUCGAAAGAUGAAAAGCACUUUGAAAAGAGAGUUAAACAGUAUGUGAAAUUGUUGAAAGGGAAGCGCUUGCAAUCAGACUUGAGCUUAACAGUUCCCCCUUCGUUCUCGUUGGGUUACUCUGUUUUGUCCAGGCCAACAUCAGUUCGAGUGGUUGGUUAAAGGCUUUAGAAAUGUAUCUACCCUCCGGGGUCGACUUAUAGUCUAGAGUGUCAUGCAGCCUACUUGGACUGAGGAACGCGCUUCGGCUCGGAUGUUGGCGUAAUGGUUGUAAGCGACCCGUCUUGAAACACGGACCAAGGAGUCUAACAUCUAUGCGAGUCUUUGAGUGGUUAAACUCACAGGCGUAAUGAAAGUGAACGGAGGUAAGAAGCCUUAAGGCUGCAUUAUCGACCGAUCCUGAUGUCUUCGGAUGGAUUUGAGUAAGAGCAUAGCUGUGGGGACCCGAAAGAUGGUGAACUAUGCCUGAAUAGGGUGAAGCCAGAGGAAACUCUGGUGGAGGCUCGCAGCGGUUCUGACGUGCAAAUCGAUCGUCAAAUUUGGGUAUAGGGGCGAAAGACUAAUCGAACCAUCUGGUAGCUGGUUCAUGCCGAAGUUUCCCUCAGGAUAGCAGUAACGUUUUCAGUUUUAUGAGGUAAAGCGAAUGAUUAGAGGCCUUGGGGCUAAAUUAGCCUUAACCUAUUCUCAAACUUUAAAUAUGUAAGAAGUCCUUGUUACUUAAUUGAACGUGGACAUUUGAAUGUAUCGUUACUAGUGGGCCAUUUUUGGUAAGCAGAACUGGCGAUGCGGGAUGAACCGAACGUGAGGUUAAGGUGCCGGAAUACACGCUCAUCAGACACCACAAAAGGUGUCAAUGCAUCUAGACAGCCGGACGGUGGCCAUGGAAGUCGGAAUCCGCUUAGGAGUGUGUAACAACUCACCGGCCGAAUGCAUUGGCCCUGAAAAUGGAUGGCGCUUAAGCGUGUUACCUAUACCUCGCC
rnacentral:rRNA from 1 species